rnacentral:rRNA from 1 species
AUUGAACGCUGGCGGCAUGCCUAACACAUGCAAGUCGAACGGUAACAGGUUAAGCUGACGAGUGGCGAACGGGUGAGUAAUAUAUCGGAACGUGCCCAGUCGUGGGGGAUAACGUAGCGAAAGCUACGCUAAUACCGCAUACGAUCUACGGAUGAAAGCGGGGGAUCGCAAGACCUCGCGCGAUUGGAGCGGCCGAUAUCAGAUUAGGUUGUUGGUGAGGUAAAAGCUCACCAAGCCUGCGAUCUGUAGCUGGUCUGAGAGGACGACCAGCCACACUGGAACUGAGACACGGUCCAGACUCCUACGGAAGGCAGCAGUGGGGAAUUUUGGACAAUGGACGCAAGUCUGAUCCAGCAAUGCCGCGUGCAGGACGAAGGCCUUCGGGUUGUAAACUGAUUUUGUACGGAACGAAACGGUGAGCUCUAAUACAGUUUGCUAAUGACGGUACCGUAAGAAUAAGCACCGGCUAACUACGUGCCAGCCGCCGCAGUAA